rnacentral:rRNA from 1 species
UACGGGAGGCAGCAGUGGGGAAUCUUAGACAAUGGGGGCAACCCUGAUCUAGCCAUGCCGCGUGAGUGAUGAAGGUCUUAGGAUCGUAAAGCUCUUUCGCCUGUGAUGAUAAUGACAGUAGCAGGUAAAGAAACCCCGGCUAACUCCGUGCCAGCAGCCGCGGUAAUACGGAGGGGGUUAGCGUUGUUCGGAAUUACUGGGCGUAAAGCGCGCGUAGGCGGACUGGAAAGUUGGGGGUGAAAUCCCGGGGCUCAACCCCGGAACUGCCUUCAAAACUAUCAGUCUAGAGUUCGAGAGAGGUGAGUGGAAUUGCGAGUGUAGAGGUGAAAUUCGUAGAUAUUCGCAGGAACACCAGUGGCGAAGGCGGCUCACUGGCUCGAUACUGACGCUGAGGUGCGAAAGUGUGGGGAGCAAACAGGAUUAGAUACCCUGGUAGUCCACACCGUAAACGAUGAAUGCCAGUCGUCGGGUUGCAUGCAAUUCGGUGACACACCUAACGGAUUAAGCAUUCCGCCUGGGGAGUACGGUCGCA